rnacentral:lncRNA from 1 species
UUAAAGUGUCAAGAAUGAUCCAUUGGUCAUUCAUCAACAUGUUUGAAGUGUUGAAGGUUCAAUCAACCUUAGGAUCAAUAAUCAAUGAUAUUCAAGAUUGUCAUCAACCAUAUAAUAAAAAACAAAGGGGUAAAAAGGUAAAAAAUAAUAAUAAGUAAUAAUAAUGAUAUGAUUAUAAUAACAUAGAACUUAAUAAAAAUGUGAAAAUAAAAAAAAAUCAAAAGCUUGAUUAAAAAUGAUAAAUGAAAAAUAAUAACAAAAAU